AUUGAACGCUGGCGGCAGGCCUAACACAUGCAAGUCGAGCGGAUGAAGGGAGCUUGCUCCUGGAUUCAGCGGCGGACGGGUGAGUAAUGCCUAGGAAUCUGCCUGGUAGUGGGGGAUAACGUCCGGAAACGGGCGCUAAUACCGCAUACGUCCUGAGGGAGAAAGUGGGGGAUCUUCGGACCUCACGCUAUCAGAUGAGCCUAGGUCGGAUUAGCUAGUUGGUGGGGUAAAGGCCUACCAAGGCGACGAUCCGUAACUGGUCUGAGAGGAUGAUCAGUCACCGGGGAAGUGAAACAGGGCCCGGCCUCCUAGGGGAGGACGCAGUGGGAAUUUUUGGAGAGAGGGGAAAAGCCUGACCCAGCCAGCCCGGGGGUGUAAGGAGGGUCUUGGGAUUGUAAAGCUCUUUAAGUUGGGAGAAAGGACAGAAAUUUAAUACCUUCUUGUUUUCAGGUUACCAAAAGAAAAAGCCCCGGCUAACUUCGUG
rnacentral:rRNA from 1 species